GAUAACAUUGAGCGGCAAGUCAAAGCCUUGAAUUCACAACCAAGCUUCCUGCCUCACCCUCCCACCCUCACAGCUCCAUUUCCAACACCAGGACCAGUUCUUGGGGGCAAGAUGGUGCCAUUCAUUCGUUACCCAGGAGUUUCAAUGUGGCAGUUCUUACCCCCUGCUGCUGUUGACACCUCACAGGACCAUCUACUUCGUCCCCCAGUCGCCUAAAACUUGGUAAAGAAGCCAAAGUGUCCAUAAUCUUAGCAUGAGGUGAUAACCAUGUAGACAUGUUACAAUACUACUGAGUAGAAGUUCUAGCAGGCUAACACAAAGCUGAAGUAAACACAAUUGUCUUGACCCUUAACAGGGCAGUUUGAAGCCCAAGUAUUUCCCAGAUUUAUAGUCCCUCCAACCUGAAUGGCUCCAAAGCUGGUCAUCAGAACAAUGCUUAAAACCAUAACCAUGCCGAUUGCGAAAACUAUCAAGGAUGCUCUACCAUACUUGUGGACUGCUUUCCGCAACACCAAUAAACCUAGCAUUGAUGCCACAAAACAUAUAACUGCCAAUAUUAGUGCUGUCUCUGUAUGUUCCAUGCCUAGCAACAUGUACUGUGACGCCGACAUUGUGGAAGAGAAGAAAACCAUGAAAGAACAUGUUGCUGCUGUCACCUAUAUAAACAAAAUUAUUUCUCAGUUGCUACCAACUAAGCUGGCUGAUAUAUAUAUAUAUAUAUAUAUAUGAUAGUUUAAAACUGUAAUGUAAGGGAACUGACCUCAGGUGCCAUUCCAACUUGAAGAAGAAGGGGGCUUAUCAGCAUUCCACCUCCAAUUCCAAAGACACCACCCAGAAGACCUGCUGACAGUGCCAUUAUUGGGAAGAUAAGCUUAUUUGGCCGUCCAUCUCCAGUCAAAUCCUGGUCCUGUAAUGUCGAUUGGAAUGAGAUUAGCUAUACUUCAAUUGCUUGUUUGAAAUAGUGAAAGAGCCUGUUUAGAUUUCAGUUGGUAUAAUUGAUUAUGAAAAUAAUUGAUUAA